ensembl:miRNA
UCUAAGAAAUAUUCCUUGACCAAGUUGAAAUUAAUGAGAAUAGGUUUCAACUUGGUCAAGGAAUAUUUCUUAGA